UCACUUCGACAGCACAUAUACUAAAAACUGGAGCAAUACAGAGAGGAUUAGCAUGGUCCCUGCACAAGGAUGACACAAAUUCAUGAAGCAUUCCAUAUUUUA